CUGGUUCUCCCCGAAAUGCAUUUAGGUGCAGCGUUGUGUGGUUCGUGUCGGAGGUAGAGCACUGGAUGGUCUAGGGGGCUUAUCGGCUUACCGAAAUCAGCCAAACUCCGAAUGCUGGCAAGUGUAGCGUGGCAGUGAGACGGCGGGGGAUAAGCUUCGUCGUCGAGAGGGAAACAGCCCAGAUCAUCAGCUAAGGCCCCUAAGUGGUGACUCAGUGGGAAAGGAUGUGGAGUUGCGUAGACAACCAGGAGGUUGGCUUGGAAGCAGCCAUCCUUGAAAGAGUGCGUAAUAGCUCACUGGUCAAGUGAUUCCGCGCCGACAAUGUAGCGGGGCUCAAGCACACCGCCGAAGCCGUGACAUUCACACAUCGCCCGACUUAGGUCCAGGCGUGUGGAUGGGUAGGGGAGCGUCGUGUGGCGAGUGAAGUCGCGGGGUGACCCAGCGGUGGACGCCACACGAGUGAGAAUGCAGGCAUGAGUAGCGAAUGACGGGUGGGAAACCCGUCCGCCGAAUAUCCAAGGGUUCCAGGGUCAAGUUAAUCUGCCCUGGGUGAGUCGGGACCUAAGGCGAGGCCGACAGGCGUAGUCGAUGGACGACCAGUUGAUAUUCUGGUACCGGUGUAGCACCGUCCGUGUCGAGGUGUGUGAUGCUAAGCGUGCGAGUGUCCUGGUGAUCCCUUCGGGGUGAUCUUGUGGCGUGAGUGUGUGAACCGAUCAUGUAGUAGACAAGCUGCGGAGGGACACAGUGAGGUAGCUCGUCCCCGGCGAUGGUUGUCCGGGGCUAAAUGUGUGGACUGUCUGGUAGGUAAAUCCGUCAGGCGUUGAGUUGAGGCAUGAUGGCGAGCCAUGUUUGUGUGGUGAGCGAGUGAUCCUGUGCUGUCGAGAAAAGCUUCGUGAGCGAGGUGUGAGCCGCCCGUACCCUAAACCGACACUGGUGGAUUGGUAGAGUAUACCGAGGCGAUCGAGAGAAUCAUGGUGAAGGAACUCGGCAAAAUGCCCCCGUAACUUUGGAAGAAGGGGGACCUGAGCUGUUGCCGCCACGUGCUGGUGGUUGCGGUGAGGGGCGCAGAGAAUUGGGGGAAGCGACUGUUUACCAAAAACACAGGUCCGUGCGAAGUCGUAAGACGAUGUAUACGGACUGACUCCUGCCCGGUGCUGGAAGGUUAAGGGGAACUGUUAGCUUUGGCGACGCGGUGAACUUAAGCCCCAGUAAACGGCGGUGGUAACUAUAACCAUCCUAAGGUAGCGAAAUUCCUUGUCGGGUAAGUUCC
rnacentral:rRNA from 14 species